rnacentral:misc_RNA from 1 species
AAGUCGUAACAAGGUCUCCGUUGGUGAACCAGCGGAGGGAUCAUUACCGAGUUUACAACUCCCAAACCCCUGUGAACAUACCACUUGUUGCCUCGGCGGAUCAGCCCGCCGGAGGUAUACAAACUCUUGUAUUCUUGUUUUCUCUGAGUUGUCUUUUAAAUAAGUCAAAACUUUCAACAACGGAUCUCUUGGUUCUG